UACGGAGGAUCCAAGCGUUAUCCGGAAUCAUUGGGUUUAAAGGGUGCGUAGGCGGAUAGAUAAGUCAGUGGUGAAAUCUCCGAGCUUAACUCGGAAACUGCCGUUGAUACUAUUUGUCUUGAAUAUUGUGGAGGUAAGCGGGAUAUGUCAUGUAGCGGUGAAAUGCUUAGAUAUGACAUAGAACACCAAUUGCGAAGGCAGCUUACUACACAAUCAUUGACGCUGAGGCACGAAAGCGUGGGGAUCAAACAGG
rnacentral:rRNA from 1 species